GAUAGGGCUGGAUCACACUGAGAUUAUAUAAAGUAUAACGGGCGGGUGUCACCGGAUGAUCGGAGAGACGUUAGGUACCACUUUAAAUGUUCACAAAUGUCAAGACGGCAUAAAUCUCAAUUACGUAUUGUUUUGCGUGACCUUGUGAACUCGUCCGCCGUUUGAACUGGAAAGAAAUUCCAUUCAUUAUAUUAUUUUAUUUCUGGAUUACUGGCUUGUUAUGUAGUACAUUGACAGGAAGUGACAUCAACGGGUCCGAACUCAGAACAUGUCGCAGGACGGGUUGACUUGCAUGUCCAGAACCUUAUUGUCUAAAGGAUGCUCCGCUGCAGGUUCAGAAGUGAUGUUCGCUGAUGGAUGCAGGAGAGAACCACGCAGGCGAGACAGACACACUGGAGACUGAGACUGAUGGUGGGAGCUCACCUUGGUGGUGUCUUACCUGUGCGGCUCAGUCAGGAACCCCCAGGGGACCCAAGUCAGUCACAUUACUAUCACCAUGACAGCCAGGCACGGUGACAUCCCAUAACAGCUCCAAUUGGCAAGUCAAACAAAUCACUGCAUCACUACAGCUGAAGCUUUCUCCGCUCAAAGACUCCGAGCUACGAGAGAAAUCACCACAAGACUGUUGCCAAUGUCGGCACAUCGCCUUGUCUACUACAGAGCAGCCAGUUGACACUGGGUGUCUGUACAGUGGCGUGACUUGGACCAGAGGGGCCCAGCCCAGCAGACUGACUCCUGUCCUGUCUGCCCAGAACGGAGCUCCCUCCCCGGCUGCUCCAGGGGCACCUGGCUCCCCUCCCUGCCAUCCCUGACUGGAUCAAUGACUGAGGCCAUGACAGCCCAGAGACCCAGGGGCCCCGGGGUCAGCAUCAAAAGCCCCCUGCCCACGUCCUGACACCUGGUGCUCUCUUUAGGACGAGGGGGUACAUUUCCAGCCCCCAUACCGCCCCCCUGCUGCCCCCACAACCUCCAUGAACAGGCUGCGGACAUGGGACCAGGCCCUCCGUGUGAUCUCCCUGGACCCCCCUCCCUUGCAGCCCACAUGGGGAGGGAAGGUGAGGGGUCAGGCCCAUCAGACCACCACACACUUCCAUGUCCAUUUGAUGAAGGGAUCUGUUUUUGAUUUAAUAAUACCAACUGAAUCCUGAUCCCCCAACAUGGAAAGCAUUGAGUGAUUGCUUGGAAUGUGUCUUAUCUGCAAAGCAUACUCUUCAUAUGUGUCCGCCUGGUUCCCCUGCAUGGUUAGUCAAGCAGUCUCCAUUCAGGGAUAAGAGAAACCCACAGGCCAUCCUCAUUUACUCACUUCAGUGAAUACUAAAAGAUACACAGACAUAGCAUCGUUCAUUAAUUUUUUUUAUUGUGUUUCACUAGAUAGUAAACACGGUUUGCACUUCAAGCAAUUUUAGAGAGAUACAACAUGCUUUAGUUUUUUAAUAAAAGCUGUUACAACAGUGUUUCUUCCUCCUGCAUCUGUCUCUCCUACUAGGUAACACAUAGACAUAUUGCAUAUGUCCACAAGGACAAUCUGUACAUGAGCUCCAUACAUCCAUAUUAAUGAACACAGAUUUAUCUGACUGCUAUCUAUCGAGCCCUGCCAUUAUUUCCCUUCAAUGUGUUUGCAGAUCCCAGUAUGUCCCCUACUCUUGUGAACAGGGAUGAAAAGAGAGAAGAUAUGGAGGGAGAGGAGGGGGAAAAAGGUCUGAUGAGUUUGGCAUGGAGAGGACGGAGGCUGAGACAGAUGGCAUGAAGUCUGCGGCACUCUGGCGGGGCUCGCGUGGUGCUAAAAUCCUCCUCGCACAUUCCAACAAAUCCUACCAGGAGGCUGGAGAGUCUGCCACAGCCUGCCGAGGAUCCACACGCCUGCCCACAUCCCUGCCCAUCCCUACCAUCCCUAACCCUCCCCCCUACAUCCUCACCCCUUAUGAGGGCUCUGAUCAAGGGCAUGCCCCCCUCCCCCUUCAUACUGUUCGCACCAAGACCUUCACCCUAGACGAUCAGUCUGAAUACUGCAUGCAUUUGCCGUUGUUUACAUUCGAGCAGGUUCAUUGCCAUGUAAUAAUGUUAUGUGGAGGCCUGCCUGGAUUGUCUCUGUGCAGUAGGGUUGGGACGGGGUUCGACUGGGUGGGACUGGGUGGAGGGGGUUGUGAAAUUCAUAGAGGUCCUCUCCUGCCACUCCAGUGUAAAAUCCCAUUGCGUAAACAUUGGGCCAAAUCAUACAGGCAAAGACUGCACAAUCCAUUUAUAUCAGAGGAAGAAGACAUAAGGAGCUUUUCAAUUAGUCUCACUCGUGCCCGCAUCAGCCUUGGGUCUUGAUAAGAGACGCCGGGCAAGUUGAGCCCAUCACAGUCCAGACAUGCACGGCUCAGAUUGACCCAUAUUCCCACUUGGUUAGUGAGGGCUUAUGCUUCUCCGUAUGUACAGUGUAACUGCACAGUAAUUAUGACACACUAUACUGUAAAGUCCAAUAGCUUCCCAACUCUCACUGCAUGACAUCUUUAUGUGUCCCCUUACCCAAAUUGUUUUGGAUAUCGUUUUACAUUUCCGGGAGAGGGCUUUGAUGCAAAGUGUUGAUGCGCGUGGACAAGUGAUUCAUAUAAAAAUGAAUUGAAUCUACAAUACAGUUUGCUUAGUCCCUCAUCCACCCCCCUUCUCUCUCUGUGUAUACAUCCAGUAUACAAUAUAUACAUAAACACAUGGAUGCAUAUACAGUAUAUAUUCCCCUUUAUUUCCCUGCUCAUUGCCUUCUGUUGGAUCUAAUGAAGGAGUUGUGAGAAUAGGAGAUCCUGAAAGAGGGUAGCAGGGGACUGGGAUAUCACAUUACUGUUCAUAACAAUAAAAAGAAUCGUCUGUUUAAUCUUUGUAUGUGUUUUUUGCUCUGAUGUCUCUCUCUUCGUGAAGUGCUUCUAGAUGUUUGAAUAGAAGUGUUUCCCAUUAAAAGAAGAUACAAUCGA